rnacentral:tRNA from 1 species
CUGGUUCUGGCGUAAUUGGUAGCCGCACCUUACUCGCAAUAAGGGGGAAAUGGAGCUGUCACUCCUGCCGUAAGGGUUCAAGUCCCUUGAUCCAGA